AUUGAACGCUGGCGGUAGGCUUAACACAUGCAAGUCGAGCGAGAAAGUAUCUUCGGAUAUGAGUAGAGCGGCGGACGGGUGAGUAACGCGUAGGAAUCUACCUAGUAGAAGGGGAUAGCCCGGGGAAACUCGGAUUAAUACCGUAUACCUCCUAAGGGAGAAAGAGGGCCUCUCUUGAUGCUCUCGCUAUUAGAUGAGCCUGCGUAAGAUUAGCUUGUUGGUGAGGUAAUGGCUUACCAAGGCUACGAUCUUUAGCUGGUCUGAGAGGACGAUCAGCCACAUUGGGACUGAGACACGGCCCAGACUCCUACGGGAGGCAGCAGUGGGGAAUAUUGGACAAUGGGCGCAAGCCUGAUCCAGCCAUACCGCGUGUGUGAAGAAGGCCUUCGGGUUGUAAAGCACUUUAAGCAGGGAGAAAAAGUUAUAAGUU
rnacentral:rRNA from 1 species